ACCAAUUCUGGGGGAUAAACAAUUCCUCUCAGGCAUAAUGGCUUAGAUGCAAUAUCUUGGAGUGGUUAUAUCCUGAUCAAUGGAUUCGUUUUACUAGUGCCAUUUUAUCCUGGAAACGCCACUUACAUCU